UUUUUUUUUUUCUUCAGAAUAUGUGAAACUACGUUGUAUUAUCAUUAUGCUUUCCUUUGAUCUCAGAGAAACAUGAUAUGAAUCGAACUUGAGCAACAAUAUUGUGGGUCUCUUCGUCUUCUUCACUAAGAGAAGGUUGCAGCCUACUUUGGUUCCAAGGGUACGUUUUUGGUGUGAGACUGUGAGCGUCCUAAAUCCUAAUACUUCAAGAGGUUUGGUAACUUUGAAGUGUACGUUUCUGCUGUGAGGGUUUUUGUUGUGUUUGGUGGGUUAUCUUCACUUUCAGUUUUGUAAUUGUGUAGACAAGAUGACUUUAGUUUUGUUCGAUUUAAGUUUCAAACAUGCCAUGAGAAUGAGCAUGAGUGAAGAGGUAACCUUGACUAUUAAUUGAGUUUUAUUGCAAGCGUUUUGUUACUUAGUUCAGGAGAAAGGUUUAGUUUUUUCUUUUUGUGAGAUUUGAUUCAUUUUCUGUGAGAAUUUUGGUGCUGAUAACACCAUGCGUUUGGCCUCUUUGGUUUAACCAUGACCUGUUUCUGUCUUUAAUAGAGAAGAACGUGUAAACACUAAUACAUUCACCCUCGUCCGAGCUUCCCAUUUUCUUUUUUGUGGCUGCAAUAAU